GGGAGAGAUGGAACCGAGAAGAGAGAGAGAGAAGAGUAGAGAGCGAUGAAGGUUGCUGGAAAAUUGGCCGUCGGCGGGCAAACUCCGGUUAUGGGAAGGAGUAGAGGAGGAUUAAGCAUGUGGGAGGGAGAUCUUUGCAUGGAGAGGUCAUUGGAUUUCGGAUAAAGGAAGACAAGCGCAGACAUCGUUAGAGGAUUCCAAUCCUUUCUUUGGAUCAAGAAUUUAGCUUCAAAAGGUGAGUGGAUAAACCAAAAUUUCCUUGCUAAAAGUCUGAUUUUCUGUUGUAUGUAAUGCGUGGAAGCUUAUUGUGGUGUGAUGUGUGUUUUGGUGAUGAAAAAAAAAAAUGCAGUCUUGCUUGGUGGGUACUUUAGUAGACUUGAAUAUUUUAUGUUUGUAACUUAAUGAUGAAUUUAUGUGUUUAUAUAUUUUGGAUACUGAAUAAUGAGCUUGAUUUUGAAUUGAUUGUGAUUGGAAACAAAUCCAGCCAAUUGGUGGGACUGGUUUGCUUGAUUUACAAUUGGGAGUGUUAGAUAUUAAAUGAAAAUGGUAUGGAUUGCUUUAGGAGGUUGUGGAUUAUGUUGAUGAAUUGGCUUGGCCCAAAUUUAAGAAGUUGUGAGUAAUGGGUGUUUUGGGUUGGCUUUAUAAUUGUGAAAUAUUGGGUUUAUUUAUAUUUGGGGGGCAUAAGGCCCAAAUUUCUUGGCUUUGGGUUAGUAUUUGAUUGUAAUUGGUGGAAGGAUUCCCAAGGGGGCAAAUUGUCAGUUUUGCGAUUAUUGGAGUACAGGCAGGGGGCUAAUUGUAAUGUUUGAAACCUUUGGGACAAAUAAGGGACAAAUAUGAGGCGUAAAUUGAUAUUUUAUAACUUAGUAUACUUCGGAAUAUUAUACUCGUAUUUACAUGAUGGUUUUUAUUAAGAAAUAUGUGCCACCCGUAUUCAAACACUUGCAUGAAGGCCUGUAAUAUUAUUAAAGGUUGGGAAGUUCGAAGGUGGGAUUGUGGAAGUGUUAUGCUGACCGUAACCGCCUUUGUAGUACCGUCCCCCUCCAGACAUCAGCUAGUAUUUAUAUUUGGCCUCAUGCGCGCAAUGAGAUGGUCCGUACUACCGCAUUGUGAUAGCAUCCUCUCGGGACAGUACGAACACCUGAUGAGCUCCAAGCGAGAUUACAAUAUUCAAGUUUGGCCAGAGUGGGAUUAUGACACCCAAUGGGUAUUGGCUUGGGUGGGAUUAUGACACCCAUUGGGUAUUGGCUUGGGUGGGAUUUGAUGAGACUAUUGGGCGGGUAUUGGCUUGAGUGGGAUAUGAUUAGCCUCAUGCGCGUAUUGAGAUGGCCCGUACUUCCAAACAAUGACGAUCUAUACCAUCCUAUCGAGACAGGUCGGGUGCCUGACAAGCUCCAAGUGGGAUUGCACCCCGAGGAUAGACCUUGGGAGAGAUUUGAUCGAUUACACUGGGCGGGUAUUAGCCUAGUUGAGCAGCUAGUUGGUUGUCUAUAUUAGGGACCUUGGGUACUAGUGUGGUAGUGGUGGUGGUGGUUGCAUUAACUGAAUGAGUGGAACUUGUGAACAUCUAGUGGGUAUAGGCUGGGAUGAAAUUUAUGAAUAUCCAGCAGGUAUAGAUUUGGUGGAAAUUGUGGACACUUGGUGGGCAUUGGCGUGAGCAAGAGUGGGUUUCGUGUCAGGAAAUGUUUGCUCAACUUUGAUGAUGGUGUAUCGAUUUUCGUGAAAAUAAUAUGAUUAUCCAUGGUAAUUGGAAAGUUUGUACAAGGAUGCGAAUUACUUUGCUGGGCAUGAGUGGAUACGAAUCAAGGAAAUUAUAUAAGGAAAGUGUGGUUUCGUUAAGGGAAUAGUUACGUGUUACGUGAAAUGCAAGUUUUGCUUUUUCAGGUUUAAGGUUGAAAGUUAUUUUCAUUUAUAAAUUGCAUUUGGUUGGCUGACAGACAUAUGUUCAUUAGCAUGAUGUUUAUACACAUUAGAAGCACUCUAAUACAUUUGUUCUAUAAACCAUUUUCUAAGAUUUACAUUUUCAUAAC